UGGGGAAUAUUGGACAAUGGGCGCAAGCCUGAUCCAGCAAUGCCGCGUGUGUGAAGAAGGCCUUCGGGUUGUAAAGCACUUUUAUCAGGAGCGAAACGCUGUCGGCUAAUACCCGGCGGAACUGACGGUACCUGAGGAAUAAGCACCGGCUAACUUCGUGCCAGCAGCCGCGGUAAUACGAAGGGUGCAAGCGUUAAUCGGAAUUACUGGGCGUAAAGCGUGCGUAGGCGGUUCCUUAAGUCUGCUGUGAAAUCCCCGGGCUCAACCUGGGAAUGGCAGUGGAUACUGGGAGGCUAGAGUGUGUCAGAGGGUGGUGGAAUUCCCGGUGUAGCGGUGAAAUGCGUAGAGAUCGGGAGGAACAUCAGUGGCGAAGGCGGCCACCUGGGACAACACUGACGCUGAGGCACGAAAGCGUGGGGAGCAAACAGGAUUAGAUACCCUGGUAGUCCACGCCCUAAAACGAUGCGAACUGGAUGUUGGUCUCAACUCGGAGAUCAGUGUCGAAGCUAACGCGUUAAGUUCGCCGCCUGGGGAGUACGGUCGCAAGACUGAAACUUAAAUGAAUUGAC
rnacentral:rRNA from 1 species